rnacentral:rRNA from 1 species
CCCAUAAAAUAUCGGGGUGGGACCUGGUCGGUGCUCAAGAAAAUAAAAAAUAAAUUUUGAGUAAACACACGCCUUAACGUGAGGGUGAUAAUGUAGCAUAAUAAUUUGGCAUUUAAUUGAUGUCUAGAAGGAAUGGUGAAACAAUUUUCCACUUGUCUCACCCAUUUGACCUUAAAAUUUGAAAAUAUAGUCAAGAUGCUAUAUAGUGAUUGAAGGACGAGAAGACCCCAUAAACCUUUACUAUAAAAUUCUUAGAUUAGAAUCAAUAAAAUUAUUUAUAGGCUAAUUUAAUAAAUUUUGGUAGUUUAGCUGGGGCGGCUGCUUUCUAUAUCCCAUUUUGAAACGAAAGUUUAAUAAAAAGACAUCUAUAACCAUAAGAUCCCAUUAACUCGAAUUAGACAAAAUUCUUAUUUCGAUUUUAUUAUUAUAAGACCUAUUAAUUCAUAAGUUAAUCAUCAAAUGAUAAAAGGUACUUUGGGGAUAACAGCGUUAUCCAAACCGAGAGAAUAUAUCCAAGUUUGGGUUUGCGACCUCGAUGUUGAAUUGGGAUUUCCUUUGGAGACAGGUGUCCAAAAGGGUUGGAUUGUUCAUCCAAUAAAAUCUUACAUGAUUUGAGUU